AUGGAUGAUUUGAAAAAGAUUCAGAUUAUCGAUUAUGAAGGAAAUAUGAUUAAAGAUUUAAAAGAAUGGGUUCAUCAUCAUGGUUUAUCUGAUUUGGGUUUUAAUUAUAAUGUUAUAGCAAUUUUGGGAAGUCAGAGUAGUGGUAAAAGUACUUUAUUAAAUAAUUUGUUUCAUACAUCGUUCGAUGUAAUGAAUACUAAGAUGGGACAUAGACAAACAACUCAAGGAUUAUGGUUAAGUUAUGACAAUUGUGAUGAUGCGAAAAUAUCAGAUAAAAAUGAUAGUAAUAGUAAAAAGAGUGAAAAUAAUUUGAUUAAAAAAAAACCUACUUUAAUAAUAGAUGUGGAAGGAAAUGAUUCAAAAGAAAGAGGAGAAAAUAGAUUAACAUUUGAACAUCGUUCUUCUUUAUUUUCUUUAGCAUUAGCAGAUUGUGUUAUUGUUAAUUUAUGGUACCAUUCUUUAGGUAAUUUUACAGCUUCUAAUUAUGGCUUGUUGAAAACUGUUAUGGAGGUAGAUUUAGAAUUAUUCCAAAAUGAGACACAUUCAGCAAAAACAAUUUUAUUAUUUGUAGUUAGAGAUUGGUUUGAAGAAUUUGCAUCUAUUGAUGUAGUAAGACAUAAAAUAUUAGACGAAUAUAUAUAUAAGAUAUGGUCUGAAAUGAAAAAACCAGCUAACCUAGAUAAAUCAAUUGAUGUAAAUAAAUAUUUUAUAAUAGAAGUAGUAGGAUUAUCACAUGGUAUAAUUAAAAAAGAAGAGUUUUUAAAAGAUGUAAAAAAAUUAAGAAAUAAAUGGAUAAAUGAACUAAGACCAGAUAUAUAUUCAAGAAAUAUACCAGCAGAUGGUUUUCCACAAUAUUGUUAUAAUAUAUGGGAAACAAUAGUAAAACAAUCACAAUUAGAUAUACCAUCACAAAAAGAAAUGUUAGCUACAUUUAGAUGUCAAGAAAUAAAAAAUAAUGUUUUAAAUAAUAUUAAUUUAACUAUAAAAGAGAAAUUACAUUCAUUACAAAAUAAACCUAUUCAUGGUUUUAAAACUUGGGCUGAAAAAGAAAUUAUUGAAAAAGGUGUUGAUGAAUAUUUAUUAGAUGCAUGUAGAUAUAAAGAAAAUAUUUGUAAAAAAACAUUAGAAGAGUUAUUGGAACAUAUAUAUAUGCAAUUACAAGUAAUAGUAGAUUCAAAUUUAAAUUAUUUACAAAAAGUAUUAUCUACAAAAUUUUCAAAAAUAUUAAAUGGUAUGUAUGAUAUAUGUCUUACUGAUAAAAGUAGUUUUUCUUUUGCUGUUGAACCAAGUAUAAAUCAAUUAAAAGAAUAUAAUAAACGGUGUAGUAUUACUAAUAAGGAGAGUGGAAGUGGUAUUACUACCUCUCGUAGCAAUAUUAGUGAUAAUAUAAAAAAUGAUAGUAGUAAUAAAAAACAAGAACUACAAUUUGAAGAAGAAGAAGAAAAAAAAAAAAUAAAAAAUACGAAGAACUAG
rnacentral:lncRNA from 1 species